rnacentral:rRNA from 1 species
GACGAACGCUGGCGGCGUGCUUAACACAUGCAAGUCGAGCGGUAAGGCCCUUUCGGGGGUACACGAGCGGCGAACGGGUGAGUAACACGUGGGUGACCUGCCCUCAGCUCUGGGAUAAGCCUGGGAAACCGGGUCUAAUACUGGAUAUGACUCCAUGACGCAUGUUGUGGGGUGAAAGCCUUGUGCGGCUGAGGAUGGGCCCGCGGCCUAUCAGCUUGUUGGUGGGGUGANGGCCUACCAAGGCGACGACGGGUAGCCGGCCUGAGAGGGCGACCGGCCACACUGGGACUGAGACACGGCCCAGACUCCUACGGGAGGCAGCAGUGGGGAAUCUUGCGCAAUGGGC